UAUGGNUCAACCAUAGUGUGCUCUGGAAACUNUCUGACUUGAGUGCAGAAGGGGAGAGUGGAAUUCCAUGUGUAGCGGUGAAAUGCGUAGAUAUAUGGAGGAACACCAGUGGCGAAGGCGGCUCUCUGGUCUGUCACUGACGCUGAGGCUCGAAAGCGUGGGUAGCGAACAGGAUUAGAUACCCUGGUAGUNCACGCCGUAAACGAUGAGUGCUAGGUGUUAGGCCCUUUCCGGGGCUUAGUGCCGGAACUAACGCAAUAAGCACUCCGCCUGGGGAGUACGACCGCAAGGUUGAAACUCAAAGGAAUUGACGGGGGCCCGCACAAGCGGUGGAGCAUGUGGUUUAAUUCGAAGCAACGCGAAGAACCUUACCAGGUCUUGACAUCCCGAUGCUAUUCUUAGAGAUAGGAAGUUACUUCGGUACAUCGGAGACAGGUGGUGCAUGGUUGUCGUCAGCUCGUGUUGUGAGAUGUUGGGUUAAGUCCGCAACGAGCGCAACCCUUAUUGUUAGUUGCCAUCAUUAAGUUGGGCACUCUAGCGAGACUGCCGGUAAUAAACCGGAGGAAGGUGGGGAUGGCGUCAAAUCAUCAUGCCCCUCAUGACCUGGGCUACACACGUGCUACAAUGGUCGGUACAACGAGUUGCGAGCCGGUGACGGCAAGCUAAUCUCUGAAAGCCGAUCUCGGUUCGGAUUGGAGGCUGCAACUCGCCUCCAUGAAGUCGGAAUCGCUAGUAAUCGCGGAUCAGCACGCCGCGGUGAAUACGUUCCCGGGCCUUGUAC
rnacentral:rRNA from 1 species